GCCUGGGUGGCUCAGUCGGUUGAGCUUCCGACUUCGGCUCAGGUCAUGAUCUCGCAGUUUGUGGGUUCGAGCCCCUCAUCAAGCU
rnacentral:tRNA from 1 species